GAGGAGAUGAAGUCUGCGCGUGGAGAGACGUCGGCGCUCCGUGUUUAUGACAGCGCCGACCACAAAAGCCAAGCAAUGCAAAGAACCUGGCGUCCGCCGAUGAAAGAGCAGACCAACAAGGUGUGGUCUGUGCCCACCAUAGAAUACGGGUCAGCGAAGGAGCAGAGGAAAUCCCACCCGGCGGAGUGUCACGCGCCCAGGGCCCCGGCCAAGGAGACGGGGUGGGAGGGUUGUCCGAGCCCAGGGCUUUGAGGGCGACCUGGGCAGCACUGCAAGACCCUGUCUCGGUCAGUCAGUCAAUCAAUCCAUCGAGGAAUAGGAAGAAACCUGUCCUAUGAGACAGCACAGGGGAAGGCAGAGGACGUUACGGGAAGUGAAAGGAACCCGCGCCGAGAGAAAACGAUCACAUGAUCCACUCAGACGUGGGAACCAAAAAUGUUGCUCUCACAGAAGUUGGGAGCAGGAAGGCGGCUACCAGGGGCUGGGGAGGGGAGAGAGGUCGGUCAGUGGGGACAACGUGACAGGUAGGCAUGCCUGCUGGGGUCCGGUCACGUUUCACUAACGUGUGUUUCAGACAGCCGGAAGCGGGUAUUCUCAACGGUGCCACCGCACAGCAAGGCUGUCUUGGACGACGGGUGUGCAAGUUCCCCAGAGCUCACUGUUACACACACAGAGUGCAUGUGCGUCGAGACGGCGAGGUGCCACACCGCAAGCGUACAAGAGCUCCACAGAGGGCUGAGCCCAGAGCCGGCCACCGUGGAGGGCGGACACCGCUUUCUUCUCCCUCAUCGGUUUGUUCCAGGGAGCUCGGAUCCACAAGAAUCAAGAAGAAAAGAUGACCUGUGACAAGGCAACGACUCUGCUUCUCGGCCCCUCUUUUCACACCAUUUGCCUGUGACCUUGCACCUUCCCCUAUCAAAAGGCACAGUCUGUCUUCCAAGCCUUUGGGUCUGGAUUCAGACAUGUGACCAGUUUUGUCUAAUAAAGUGAAAUAUUCUGAUGCAUACAAUAGCUUGCCCAUCCCGGCUUCUGGCCCUCGAGAGGUGGCAGCUGAUCCCACCUGGUCUCUUGCAUCUGGAUUGUCACCAUGAAAAAAACAUGUCUCAGCUGAAGGAGGGGCUGGAGGAUGAGGAGGAGGAGGAAGAGGAGGAGAUAUAGGUAGAGCAAGCCACUCCCAGAUGAGCCUACCCU
rnacentral:lncRNA from 1 species